GAUGAACGCUAGCGGCAGGCCUAACACAUGCAAGUCGAGGGGUAACAGGGAGCUUGCUCCGCUGACGACCGGCGCACGGGUGCGUAACGCGUAUACAAUCUACCUUUUGCUACGGGAUAGCCCAGAGAAAUUUGGAUUAAUACCGCAUAGUAUAUUGAGAUCGCAUGGUUUUAAUAUUAAAGGUUACGGCAGAAGAUGAGUAUGCGUUCUAUUUGCUAGAUGGUGUGGUAACGGCACACCAUGGCAACGAUAGAUAGGGGCCCUGAGAGGGGGAUCCCCCACACUGGUACUGAGACACGGACCAGACUCCUACGGGAGGCAGCAGUGAGGAAUAUUGGACAAUGGGCGAGAGCCUGAUCCAGCCAUGCCGCGUGCAGGAAGACGGCCCUAUGGGUUGUAAACUGCUUUUAUACAGGAAGAAACACCUCUACGUGUAGAGGCUUGACGGUACUGUAAGAAUAAGGAUCGGCUAACUCCGUGC
rnacentral:rRNA from 1 species